rnacentral:rRNA from 1 species
CAGCCGCCGCGGUAAUACGAAGGGUGCAAGCGUUAAUCGGAAUUACUGGGCGUAAAGCGUGCGUAGGCGGUGAGUUAAGUCUGCUGUGAAAUCCCCGGGCUCAACCUGGGAAUGGCAGUGGAUACUGGCUCGCUAGAGUGUGUCAGAGGAUGGUGGAAUUCCCGGUGUAGCGGUGAAAUGCGUAGAGAUCGGGAGGAACAUCAGUGGCGAAGGCGGCCAUCUGGGACAACACUGACGCUGAGGCACGGAAGCGUGGGGAGCAAACAGGAUUAGAGACCCCUGUAGUCCCUGUCUCUUAUAC